GACGAACGCUGGCGGCGUGCUUAACACAUGCAAGUCGAACGGAAAGGCCCUGCUUUUGUGGGGUGCUCGAGUGGCGAACGGGUGAGUAACACGUGAGUAACCUGCCCUUGACUUUGGGAUAACUUCAGGAAACUGGGGCUAAUACCGGAUAGGAGCUCCUGCUGCAUGGUGGGGGUUGGAAAGUUUCGGCGGUUGGGGAUGGACUCGCGGCUUAUCAGCUUGUUGGUGGGGUAGUGGCUUACCAAGGCUUUGACGGGUAGCCGGCCUGUGAGGGUGACCGGCGACAAUGGGACUGAGAUACGGCCCAGACUCCAACGGGAGGCAGCAGUGGGGAAUAUUGCACAAUGGGCGGAAGCCUGAUGAAGCAACGCCGCGUGCGGGAUGACGGCCUUCGGGUUGUAAACCGCUUUCGAAUGUGACAAAGAGUGAGUGACGGUAAUGGGUAAAGAAGCACCGGCUAACUACGUG
rnacentral:rRNA from 1 species